GACGAACGCUGGCGGCGUGCUUAACACAUGCAAGUCGAACGGAAAGGCCCUGCUUUUGUGGGGUGCUCGAGUGGCGAACGGGUGAGUAACACGUGAGUAACCUGCCCUUGACUUUGGGAUAACUUCAGGAAACUGGGGCUAAUACCGGAUAGGAGCUCCUGCUGCAUGGUGGGGGUUGGAAAGUUUCGGCGGUUGGGGAUGGACUCGCGGCUUAUCAGCUUGUUGGUGGGGUAGUGGCUUACCAAGGCUUUGACGGGUAGCCGGCCUGAGAGGGUGACCGGCCACAUUGGGACUGAGAUACGGCCCAGAAUCCUACGGGAGGCAGCAGUGGGGAAUAUUGCACAAUGGGCGGAAGCCUGAUGCAGCAACGCCGCGUGCGGGAUGACGGCUUUCGGGUUGUAAACCGCUUUCGCCUGUGACGAAGCGUGAGUGACGGUAAUGGGUAAAGAAGCACCGGCUAACUACGUG
rnacentral:rRNA from 1 species